rnacentral:rRNA from 1 species
GACGAACGCUGGCGGCGUGCUUAACACAUGCAAGUCGAACGGAAAGGCCCUGCUUUUGUGGGGUGCUCGAGUGGCGAACGGGUGAGUAACACGUGAGUAACCUGCCCUUGACUUUGGGAUAACUUCAGGAAACUGGGGCUAAUACCGGAUAGGAGCUCCUGCUGCAUGGUGGGGGUUGGAAAGUUUCGGCGGUUGGGGAUGGACUCGCGGCUUAUCAGCUUGUUGGUGUGGUAGUGGCUUACCAAGGCUUUGACGGGUAGCCGGCCUGAGAGGGUGACCGGCCACAUUGGGACUGAGAUACGGCCCAGACGCCUACGGGAGGCAGCAGUGGGGAAUAUUGCACAAUGGGCGGAAGCCUGAUGCAGCAACGCCGCGUGCGGGAUGACGGCCUUCGGGUUGUAAACCGCUUUCGCCUGUGACGAAGCGUGAGUGACGGUAAUGGGUAAAGAAGCACCGGCUAACUACGUG